UUUACUUGUCCCCGGACAAGUCAGCUUUCAAAAACUGCUUGUCCGGAAGGGGAAAUUGACGACACGGACAACUCGGACAGCAUAUUUCAGAACCCCUGGGCUAAGCCUAUUGCGUAUUAUUGCGAGUUAUUUUAUUUUUUUGUGAAAACGAAGUGAAAACGAAGUUUACGCCGAUGCCAACACAUUAAUCUGCAAAAUCUUGUUAACUUAUUUCAGUGUUGGCCCUCGCUGGUCAGAAACUCAACCAAACGCCUACAACUGCCCGACAGGAAACUCGUGGUAACAUAAGCAUCGGCUUCAUUGCGUUAGCGUCCGUAUCGUCCGUAGUUGGACUUCUGGCGGUCAUCUUAGUCGUUUAUAUUUGCCUUAUUAGAAAGAAACGUCGAUCGUCUGCUGGUCAACACAGUGAAGUAACAGAAAGAUCACAACUCGCCAUAGAACAUCCUUAUGACCAAUGUUCUGCACGCGCUUCACGCGAAGUCCAUUAGUACGAUUACGUCAUCGCUGCAGACGAUGACGGCUACCUAGAUAUGACAGCGGGUUCUCAUACUGCAACAUUCAAGUGCUAAGAUGUUUUAUAGGACAGCGGAGCAUUGAAUCAGACAACACUUUUCCUCAGAAGUUGAAGCCCAAUAUAUAUUUUUUGAAACAUUUUGGCAAUCAAAUUAUUAUUAGUGACUGUAUAGUAAAUGGUUUACAA